rnacentral:tRNA from 1 species
GGAUUUAGCUCAGUGGUAGAGCGCUUGCCUAGCAAGCGAAAGGCCCUGGGUUCGGUCCCCAGCUCCG